rnacentral:rRNA from 1 species
UUAGAGUUUGAUCCUGGCUCAGGAUGAACGCUAGCGGCAGGCUUAACACAUGCAAGUCGAGGGGCAGCGAGAUCAGUGCUUGCACUGAUUGUCGGCGACCGGCGCACGGGUGCGUAACGCGUAUGCAACCUACCCAUUACAGGGGGAUAACACUGAGAAAUCGGUACUAAUACCCCAUAACAUCCAGGGAGGCAUCUUCUUGGGUUGAAAACUCCGGUGGUAAUGGAUGGGCAUGCGUUGUACUAGUUAGUUGGUGGGGUAACGGCUCACCAAGACAACGAUACAUAGGGGGACUGAGAGGUUAACCCCCCACAUUGGUACUGAGACACGGACCAAACUCCUACGGGAGGCAGCAGUGAGGAAUAUUGGUCAAUGGACGCAAGUCUGAACCAGCCAUGCCGCGUGCAGGAAGACGGCUCUAUGAGUUGUAAACUGCUUUUGUACGAGGGUAAACGCAGAUACGCGUAUCUGUCUGAAAGUAUCGUACGAAUAAGGAUCGGCUAACUCCGUGCCAGCAGCCGCGGUAAUACGGAGGAUUCAAGCGUUAUCCGGAUUUAUUGGGUUUAAAGGGUGCGUAGGCGGUCGGAUAAGUUAGAGGUGAAAUCCCGGGGCUCAACUUCGGAAUUGCCUCUGAUACUGUUCGGCUAGAGAGUAGUUGCGGUAGGCGGAAUGUAUGGUGUAGCGGUGAAAUGCUUAGAGAUCAUACAGAACACCGAUUGCGAAGGCAGCUUACCAAGCUACUUCUGACGUUGAGGCACGAAAGCGUGGGGAGCAAACAGGAUUAGAUACCCUGGUAGUCCACGCAGUAAACGAUGAUAACUCGUUGUCGGCGAUACAGUGUCGGUGACUAAGCGAAAGCGAUAAGUUAUCCACCUGGGGAGUACGUUCGCAAGAAUGAAACUCAAAGGAAUUGACGGGGGCCCGCACAAGCGGAGGAACAUGUGGUUUAAUUCGAUGAUACGCGAGGAACCUUACCCGGGCUUGAAAGUUAGUGACGGAUCUUGAAAGAGGUCUUCCCUUCGGGGCACGAAACUAGGUGCUGCAUGGUUGUCGUUAGCUCGUGCCGUGAGGUGUCGGGUUAAGUCCCAUAACGAGCGCAACCCCUACCGUCAGUUGCCAGCAGGUCAAGCUGGGCACUCUGACGGGACUGCCGGUGUAAGCCGAGAGGAAGGUGGGGAUGACGUCAAAUCAGCACGGCCCUUACGUCCGGGGCUACACACGUGUUACAAUGGCAGGUACAGAGGGCAGCUACCCAGCGAUGGGAUGCGAAUCUCGAAAGCCUGUCUCAGUUCGGAUUGGAGGCUGAAACCCGCCUCCAUGAAGUUGGAUUCGCUAGUAAUCGCGCAUCAGCCAUGGCGCGGUGAAUACGUUCCCGGGCCUUGCACUCACCGCCCGUCA